rnacentral:tRNA from 1 species
GCCUAGAUGGCUCAGUCAGUAGAGUGUGUGACCUGAUCUCGGGGUUGUGAGUUUGAACCUCACACUGGGCA